AUGCUGGUACAGGGGCCCAAGCACCUGGGCCAUCUUCUACUGCUUUCCCAGGCCGCAGCAGAGAGCUGGAUUGGAAGAGGAGCAGCUGGGACUAGAACCGGCGCCCAUAUGGGAUUCCAGCGCUUCAGGCCAGGGCUUUAUCCUGCUCACCACAGCACCGCCUCUCCCCCUUUUUUUUCCUUAAAGAUUUAUUUUAUUUGAAAGGCAGAGAGACAGAGGCGACAAAGAUCAUCCCUCUGAUGGGCCAAAGCAAGGAGCCCAGGACACAAUCUAGGUCUUCUACAUGGGUGGCGGGGACUCAAGUGCUUGAGCCAUCCCCUGCUGCCUCCCAGGAUGUGCACUAGCAUGAAGGAACUGGGUGUAGAACCGACACUCUAUCAUGGGAUGUGUUGUUCCAAGAGGCAUCGCAACCGCUGAGCCAGAUGCUUGCCUCGCAAGCUAAAUCUUACUGUCCUUCAAAGCGGGGUGGAGGUGGGGGGGAUGAGGAGGGCACUACAAGCUCUUCGUAAGAUGUCUUUCCUCAUAGUCCCAGUCUACAUUGUUCCUCGUGACUCUUUUAGCACAUAUUGUAUGCCACUGAAGUGUUGGCUUUUAAUGAAUUUUAAACCAUGUCUCAUUUCUCUAAUUAGACUACACACACAGGGGAGGCUUCCAUAAUACCACACCCAUGGAAAACAUUCCAGCUGAAUUGUAUCUGUGAAGAAGGGGCAGCGAAGGAAGACUGUCACUUAAAGGAAUGUUUGUAAAGGGUUCUGCUGCUUUCCUAGUUGCACUUGCAGGAACCGGAUAAGAAGUGGACCAGUCAGGGCUCGAACUGGCGCCCAUAUGGAAUGCUGGCAUUGUAGGCAACGGCCUAACCUGCUAUGCCACAGCGCCGGCCCCAUAAAGGGUAUAUUCUACCAUAGAUUCAUUUGAGUCUUCCAUUCAGGCAAGAUCCAUGCCUUCCACGUCUCUCAAAAUCCCAACAUUUUGGAACAGUUGUUUGGCACAGUGGUUAAAUGCUAUCUGGGACACUACGUUCCAUAUUGGAGUGCAAGGUUUGAGUUCCAGCUCCCUGCUAAUAUGCACCCUGGGAGGUAGCAAGUAAUGAUUCAAGUGGUUGGGUGCCUGCCACCCAUAUGGGAGACCUGGCUUGAGUUCUAGGUUCUCAGUUUUGGCUUGAACCAGUCCCAGCUAUUGUGGGCAAUUGAGGAGUGAACUA
rnacentral:lncRNA from 1 species